rnacentral:rRNA from 1 species
GUGUCAGCAGCCGCGGUAAUACAGAGGUCCCAAGCGUUGUUCGGAUUCACUGGGCGUAAAGGGUGCGUAGGUGGCCAGGUAAGUUUGGUGUGAAAGCUCGGAGCUUAACUCCGAAAAGUCAUUGAAUACUAUCUGGCUGGAGGGUCGGAGGGGAGACUGGAAUUCUCGGUGUAGCAGUGAAAUGCGUAGAUAUCGAGAGGAACACCAGUGGCGAAGGCGAGUCUCUGGACGACUCCUGACACUGAGGCACGAAAGCUAGGGGAGCAAACAGGAUUAGAUACCCUGGUAGUCC